rnacentral:rRNA from 1 species
UCGGGGUCCACUUCGGUGGCGCGCACACAGGUGCUGCAUGGCUGUCGUCAGCUCGUGUCGUGAGAUGUUGGGUUAAGUCCCGCAACGAGCGCAACCCACGUCCUUAGUUGCCAUCAUUCAGUUGGGCACUCUAGGGAGACUGCCGGUGAUAAGCCGCGAGGAAGGUGUGGAUGACGUCAAGUCCUCAUGGCCCUUACGGGAUGGGCUACACACGUGCUACAAUGGCGGUGACAGUGGGACGCNAAGGAGCGAUCUGGAGCAAAUCCCCAAAAGCCGUCUCAGUUCGGAUUGCACUCUGCAACUNGGGUGCAAGAAGCCGG